rnacentral:rRNA from 1 species
GACGAACGCUGGCGGCGUGCUUAACACAUGCAAGUCGAACGAUGAAGCCCAGCUUGCUGGGUGGAAGAGUGGCGAACGGGUGAGUAACACGUGAGUAACCUGCCCUGAACUCUGGGAUAAGCACUGGAAACGGUGUCUAAUACUUGAUACAACCUAUCACCGCCUGGUGUGUGGGUGGGAAGAUUUAUCGGUUCUGGAUGGACUCGCGGCCUAUCAGCUAGAUGGUGAGGUAAUGGCUCACCAUGGCGACGACGGGUAGCCGGCCUGAGAGGGUGACCGGCCACACUGGGACUGAGACACGGCCCAGACUCCUACGGGAGGCAGCAGUGGGGAAUAUUGCACAAUGGGCGCAAGCCUGAUGCAGCAACGCCGCGUGAGGGAUGACGGCCUUCGGGUUGUAAACCUCUUUUAGUAGGGAAGAAGCGAAAGUGACGGUACCUGCAGAAAAAGCACCGGCUAACUACGUG